GGGUAGAAUUCCAGGUGUAGCGGUGAAAUGCGUAGAGAUCUGGAGGAAUACCGGUGGCGAAGGCGGCCCCCUGGACAAAGACUGACGCUCAGGUGCGAAAGCGUGGGGAGCAAACAGGAUUAGAUACCCUGGUAGUCCACGCCGUAAACGAUGUCGAUUUGGAGGUUGUGCCCUUGAGGCGUGGCUUCCGGAGCUAACGCGUUAAAUCGACCGCCUGGGGAGUACGGCCGCAAGGUUAAAACUCAAAUGAAUUGACGGGGGCCCGCACAAGCGGUGGAGCAUGUGGUUUAAUUCGAUGCAACGCGAAGAACCUUACCUGGUCUUGACAUCCACAGAACUUUCCAGAGAUGGAUUGGUGCCUUCGGGAACUGUGAGACAGGUGCUGCAUGGCUGUCGUCAGCUCGUGUUGUGAAAUGUUGGGUUAAGUCCCGCAACGAGCGCAACCCUUAUCCUUUGUUGCCAGCGGUUAGGCCGGGAACUCAAAGGAGACUGCCAGUGAUAAACUGGAGGAAGGUGGGGAU
rnacentral:rRNA from 1 species